UAGAGACUCAGAGCUGCAUAUCAAUAAGCGGAGGAAAAGAAACUAACAAGGAUUCCCUUAGUAACGGCGAGUGAAGCGGGAAGAGCUCAAAUUUGAAAUCUUCAAGGUUUUACCUUGACGAAUUGUAGUUUAAAGAAGUGUUUUCUGUUGGAGUUUUGGUAAAAGUUCUUUGGAAUAGGACAUCAUAGAGGGUGAGAAUCCCGUAUUUGACCAUUUCUUCCAGCUGUGUGAUACACUUUCAAAGAGUCGGAUUGUUUGGGAAUGCAGUCCAAAAUGGGUGGUAAAUUUCAUCUAAAGCUAAAUAUUGGCGAGAGACCGAUAGCGAACAAGUACCGUGAGGGGAAGAUGAAAAGAACUUUGAAAAGAGAGUUAAACAGUACGUGAAAUUGUCAAAAGGGAAGCGUUUGACACCAGUGUUGUUUUCUCGAAAAUCAAUUAAAAAUGACCGGAUUUUGUGUUGUAUUGACUUUAUCAGCUUUCUGCACUUUUUUCUUGUCUUUUUUAAUGCACUUUUCGUUUAACAAGUCAACAUCAAUUUCUUUUGUUGUAAAAGAGGUCAUUGGAAGGUGGCUUUCACUUCGGUGAAAGUGUUUAUAGCCUUUGGACUUCUGCAAUCGGAGAGAUUGAGGUCUGCAGCGUAGAUCCUUCGGGGUUAGAUACAUUUGUGCUAAGUUAUAGUUUUUCAUAGACAACAUGUUGACUAUGAUUAAUCAUGUAGCUUACUCGCUUAUGCUAUUUUACCUACGCUUAGGAUGUUGAUAGUCACAGCGUGUAC
rnacentral:rRNA from 1 species